GAUGAACGCUGGCGGCGUGCCUAAUACAUGCAAGUCGAGCGAACGGACGAGGCGCUUGCUUCUCGGAUGUUAGCCGCGCACGGGUGAGUAACACGUGGAUACCCUACCUAUAAGUCUGGGAUCACUUCGGAAAUCCGGAGCUAAUACCGGAGAAUAUUUUGAACCGCAUGGUUCAAAAGUGAAAGACGGUCUUGCUGUCAGUUCUAGCUGGAUCCGCGCUGCAUUAGCUAGUUGGUACGGUAACGGCUUACCAAGGCAACGAUGCGUAGCCGACCUGUGAGGGUGAUCGGCCACACUGGAACUGAAACACGGUCCAGACGCCUGCGAGAGGCAGCAGUAGGGAAUCUGCCGCAGUGGGCGGGAGCAUGGCGGAGCAACGCCGCGUGAGAGAUGAAAGUCUUCGGAUCGUAAAACUCUGUUACUAGGUAAAAACAUAUGUGGAAGUAACCGUGCACAGCGUGACGGUACCUAAUCAGAAAGCCACGGCUAACUACGUG
rnacentral:rRNA from 1 species